rnacentral:lncRNA from 1 species
UUGUUUGAAAGCUAUGUCUCAUAAUAUAAGCUUUACCUUACAAAACGUCAACAUUGUACUUGAUAGAUAGUUUCUGUAUCUACAAAGGGAUCUAACAAAAGGAAAAGACACCGUAAAUUAAAGUGUACAUGACAUGAUUGAUUUAAGGUUGAAUAUAUGGUUUUGUAGGGAUGAUCAGAUCAUACUUAAUUAAUGGGCUGUUUUACUAUAUGGGAUACCUGAUGCUGGAAAAAGCUCAUCUCAUACCUUUGUGGAGAACUGAUGGCAUCAUUAUUAUUGCGUUGCUUCAUAUUGGUCCUGUCGAGUUUCUCUAUUAUUGGCUUCACAGAGCUCUGCAUCACCAUUUUCUCUAUUCUCGUUAUCAUUCCCAUCAUCACUCCUCCAUUGUUACUGAGCCCAUCACUUGUAAGUCGUCUUUUCAAACAAGAGUUAGAAUGAUCAAUCCGGAGAAAAUGUAUUACAGUUUUAGACAACAAAAGAAAAAAAAGAUGUCAGGUAAAAUAAAAUAUAUGAGAAUGAAGUACUUUGUAGGUUGGUUUAGCUUGAUUGAAGAUAUUUUCCUUCUGACUUAUCUCUUCGUAUUUAAUCAUUCAACUUUGAUAUUACUGUAUCAUGUCAUACAAAUAGCUGUGAGUUAGUCAAAUUUCACAAUGCUUCAGCUUUUGUCAUCAUUAAAAUAUUUCAGAGAUUACAUAACUAACGGAUGAAAUGUACAACUUUACAGCCAUUGUUUAGAUAUAUGUAAUCCCACAACUUAAAAAGGAAUAUAGUUAAAAGAAAAGGACAAUCAAUUACCAAUUUGCGCGGAAGUAAAUA